UUGACCUCGGAUCAGGUAGGAAUACCCGCUGAACUUAAGCAUAUCAAUAAGCGGAGGAAAAGAAACCAACAGGGAUUGCCCUAGUAACGGCGAGUGAAGCGGCAACAGCUCAAAUUUGAAAUCUGGCUCUCGGGCCCGAGUUGUAAUUUGUAGAGGAUGCUUUUGAUGCGGUGCCUUCCGAGUUCCCUGGAACGGGACGCCAUAGAGGGUGAGAGCCCCGUCUGGUUGGAUGCCAAAUCUCUGUAAAGCUCCUUCGACGAGUCGAGUAGUUUGGGAAUGCUGCUCUAAAUGGGAGGUAUAUGUC
rnacentral:rRNA from 1 species